GGACUACAGGGGUUUCUAAUCCGGUUUGCUACCCACGCUUUCGUCCCUCAGCGUCAGAACUGUCCCAGCAAGCCGCUUUCGCCACUGGUGUUCCUCCCGAUAUCUACGCAUUUCACCACUACACCGGGAAUUCCACUUGCCUCUAACAGUCUCAAGUCCGGCAGUAUCCCCCGACCUCUUCAAGUUGAGCCUGAAGAUUUCACAGGAGACUUACCGAACCGCCUACGGACCCUUUACGCCCAAUAAAUCCGGACAACGUUUGUGACCUACGUAUUACCGCGGCUGCUGGCACGUAGUUAGCCGUCACUUAUUCCUCAGGUACCGUCCUUGCUCUUCCCUGAGAAAAGAGGUUUACGACCCUAAAGCCUUCAUCCCUCACGCGGCGUCGCUCCAUCAGGCU
rnacentral:misc_RNA from 1 species